GAUGAACGCUGGCGGCGUGCUUAACACAUGCAAGUCGAACGGUGAAGCCAAGCUUGCUUGGUGGAUCAGUGGCGAACGGGUGAGUAACACGUGAGCAACCUGCCCUGGACUCUGGGAUAAGCGCUGGAAACGGCGUCUAAUACUGGAUAUGGGCUUCUACCGCAUGGUGGGGGUUGGAAAGAUUUUUUGGUCUGGGAUGGGCUCGCGGCCUAUCAGCUUGUUGGUGAGGUAAUGGCUCACCAAGGCGUCGACGGGUAGCCGGCCUGAGAGGGUGACCGGCCACACUGGGACUGAGACACGGCCCAGACUCCUACGGGAGGCAGCAGUGGGGAAUAUUGCACAAUGGGCGAAAGCCUGAUGCAGCAACGCCGCGUGAGGGAUGACGGCCUUCGGGUUGUAAACCUCUUUUAGCAGGGAAGAAGCGAAAGUGACGGUACCUGCAGAAAAAGCGCCGGCUAACUACGUGCCAGCAGCCGCAGUAA
rnacentral:rRNA from 1 species